ensembl:lncRNA
AGGUCACAAGACGAGGGGAAAUGGCCUCAAGUUGCACCAGGAGUAUGUCCCUUGAUGAAAGAAAAACCCCCAAACAACGUGGGAAUGGGCAAUAAAAAGGGUAGAACAGAUGCACUUCUGCACCGGCUGCAAGGUCCCCAGGAAAGGAAGAAAGCAGAGAGGAAUCACCUGACAGGGACCUGGAUACCUGCAAGAAGAUGCACAACAGAAGAUCAAAUCACCCCUUCAGUGCCAGCAGCAUCACAGACGUCAUAUGGGUCAUGGUCUGAGGCAUAUAUUGAUACACAUGCUAAAAAGAUGCUUCUAAUUUUUUUUUUUAAGCCUAUAAACCAGCCUCUAAAUUGUAACAGGUUUCUUAAUGAUAUUAUAAGC